GAUAAGUUGGAGUAGACCAUUAGCCAGGAAUACUUUUACUAUCAGUAGAGAUUAUUUCUUGCACAGAUUAAAUAAUAGUGACAGUAUUUUUUCAGAUUUUUGUUUAUCUGUAGCCAGCCACCCUUCAGUUCCCAUCUUUGUAUUAUUUUGUCUCUUCUCUGUUUUCUUCCUAUAGGCAGAUCAAAAACUAAACGAAUUGCAACGUGUUGGUUUUGUUCUGGAAUCAUUCCCUUUAUUCCCUUUAUACAGGAAAAAUAGUUACUGUUGCUAGUUUAAUUUUGCUCACAUCACCCUUUUAGAGGCGGUGGACCAACUGACAAUCCUUUUCCCGCCUGUCUUUGUUUUAUUGCGUCUUAUUUUUGCCUCCACAGAUCUUCUUCUGCCUCCACAGUGCUGAUUCCUGAAAUCGUUAUGCUGGCAGUUUCAUCCAGUAAAGGCUAUUUACCCUACCUGCCUUCCUCCAGGCUGAGACUCCUUGAUUACAAGAGUUUGGUAGUAAAACUGUUUCAUUUCACUAUGCCUCAUAGCCUUCACAAGGAGAAAAAACUGAAGCAAUGUAAGCAAGAGAGAGGUGUGAAAGGAGGGCAAAAGAAUGAAAUCACUCAGGAGCCAAGUGUGGAGAGGUUUCUCAUCCAAGUACCAGCUAGAUUUGUUUGAAACACAGGCCGAAAUGGUAAGGGGUUUAGUUCUCCAGAUGGAAAGUGCCAG
rnacentral:lncRNA from 1 species